CUACAUACAAGCCAAGGUACAUAUGCCAAUAAAAGCAGGGAAAUGGGGAACAAAGGAUGUCAUAGCAACCUCAAGGAGCCCUGUUGUGCUACCGACUGCAGAGCUCAUGGACAUCCAUCAGGAAGCCUCCAAUACCCAAACCAGAGACAGAGGAGCAAAAGGACCUCUCCUUGUGUGAUGCUGGCUAACAUCCCACUGGCCAAAACAGGUUACAUGUUAGGUGCAAAGGGGUAGUUGCCUAAUCCAUAUCCAUGUGGAUAGCUCUUUACUUAGGAAACCUUGAUGGCUUAUUUGGAUGACAAAGGUUCCCUUUUGGCGAUACAUAGCCAUGCGAGACAACAUAGCCAUGAAACAAACCAAGUCCACCAGUGGCUUCCUAGGAACACAUUUGCUUUCCUGAUAAAAGAGGACAGAUGCAGUUGCAGAAGUACCUGUGCCUCUUUUUCUUUUUCUUCUUCUUUUUCUUUUUUAAUCUCUUAAAUGCAGAUAUAAGAACUGGUACUGAAGCAGCCAUCUUGUGACCAUAAGGAAGAAGCCAAGAACAUCAGAACCAGUGGCCUAGCCAUUGCACAGUCAUCUAAACACACCUCUGGACUUGUUAUUAUGUAAAAAAAAAUAAACACCUGCUCUUGUUAUUUGCAAUUCAACAUAAUCGUAACUUACAUAAUAUUUAUCAAAUUGAUACAAAUAAGAAAUAAAUUACUUGGGAAUAAAA